UUGAAGAGUUUGAUCAUGGCUCAGAUUGAACGCUGGCGGCAGGCCUAACACAUGCAAGUCGAGCGGUAGCACAGAGAGCUUGCUCUCGGGUGACGAGCGGCGGACGGGUGAGUAAUGUCUGGGAAACUGCCUGAUGGAGGGGGAUAACUACUGGAAACGGUAGCUAAUACCGCAUAACGUCGCAAGACCAAAGUGGGGGACCUUCGGGCCUCAUGCCAUCAGAUGUGCCCAGAUGGGAUUAGCUAGUAGGUGGGGUAACGGCUCACCUAGGCGACGAUCCUAGCUGGUCUGAGAGGAUGACCAGCCACACUGGAACUGAGACACGGUCCAGACUCCUACGGGAGGCAACGUGGGGAAUAUUGCACAAUGGGCGCAAGCCUGAUGCAGCCAUGCCGCGUGUGUGAAGAAGGCCUUCGGGUUGUAAAGCACUUUCAGCGGGGAGGAAGGCGAUAAGGUUAAUAACCUUGUCGAUUGACGUUACCCGCAGAAGAAGCACCGGCUAACUCCGUGCCAGCAGCCGCGGUAAUACGGAGGGUGCAAGCGUUAAUCGGAAUUACUGGGCGUAAAGCGCACGCAGGCGGUCUGUCAAGUCGGAUGUGAAAUCCCCGGGCUUAACCUGGGAACUGCAUUCGAAACUGGCAGGCUAGAGUCUUGUAGAGGGGGGUAGAAUUCCAGGUGUAGCGGUGAAAUGCGUAGAGAUCUGGAGGAAUACCGGUGGCGAAGGCGGCCCCCUGGACAAAGACUGACGCUCAGGUGCGAAAGCGUGGGGAGCAAACAGGAUUAGAUACCCUGGUAGUCCACGCCGUAAACGAUGUCGAUUUGGAGGUUGUGCCCUUGAGGCGUGGCUUCCGGAGCUAACGCGUUAAAUCGACCGCCUGGGGAGUACGGCCGCAAGGUUAAAACUCAAAUGAAUUGACGGGGGCCCGCACAAGCGGUGGAGCAUGUGGUUUAAUUCGAUGCAACGCGAAGAACCUUACCUGGUCUUGACAUCCACAGAACUUAGCAGAGAUGCUUUGGUGCCUUCGGGAACUGUGAGACAGGUGCUGCAUGGCUGUCGUCAGCUCGUGUUGUGAAAUGUUGGGUUAAGUCCCGCAACGAGCGCAACCCUUAUCCUUUGUUGCCAGCGGUUCGGCCGGGAACUCAAAGGAGACUGCCAGUGAUAAACUGGAGGAAGGUGGGGAUGACGUCAAGUCAUCAUGGCCCUUACGACCAGGGCUACACACGUGCUACAAUGGCAUAUACAAAGAGAAGCGACCUCGCGAGAGCAAGCGGACCUCAUAAAGUAUGUCGUAGUCCGGAUUGGAGUCUGCAACUCGACUCCAUGAAGUCGGAAUCGCUAGUAAUCGUAGAUCAGAAUGCUACGGUGAAUACGUUCCCGGGCCUUGUACACACCGCCCGUCACACCAUGGGAGUGGGUUGCAAAAGAAGUAGGUAGCUUAACCUUCGGGAGGGCGCUUACCACUUUGUGAUUCAUGACUGGGGUGAAGUCGUAACAAGGUAACCGUAGGGGAACCUGCGGUUGGAUCACCUCCUU
rnacentral:rRNA from 1 species